UACAGAGGGGGCAAGCGUUGUUCGGAAUUACUGGGCGUAAAGGGCGCGUAGGCGGCCUUCUAAGUCGAACGUGAAAUCCCCGGGCUCAACCCGGGAACUGCGUCCGAUACUGGAAGGCUUGAAUCCGGGAGAGGGAUGUGGAAUUCCAGGUGUAGCGGUGAAAUGCGCAGAUAUCGGGAAGAACACCCGUGGCGAAGGCGGCUCUCUGGGCCACUACUGACGCUGAGAAGCGAAAGCAUGGGGAGCGAACAGG
rnacentral:rRNA from 1 species